rnacentral:lncRNA from 1 species
CGCAAUGCGAGCUGGCCGGCGCCCUUUGAACGCCCGUCACAUCUGGCUGGCAGUGAAUGGACCCACUGUCAGAGGGGCUGCUGCCGUGGUACCUGGUUCCUUAUGUACUAAUUACAAGCUCCAAACUCAGGAGUUAGGGGAGUCUGGGGACUUGUGGCUGGAGUUCACACGGGCUGGAGAAACAAAGGAUGCCCUGUUCCUCAUUACGCUCCUACACUUAAUUAGGAAACAGAAUAUACCUUAA